rnacentral:rRNA from 1 species
UACGUAGGGAGCAAGCGUUGUCCGGAAUCAUUGGGCGUAAAGCGCGCGUAGGCGGCCUCGUAAGUCCGUUGUGAAAGUCAAAGGCUCAACCUUUGAAAGCCGAUGGAUACUGUGAGGCUAGAGUCCGGAAGAGGCGAGUGGAAUUCCUGGUGUAGCGGUGGAAUGCGCAGAUAUCAGGAGGAACACCAAUAGCGAAGGCAGCUCGCUGGGACGUUACUGACACUGAGGCGCGAAAGCGUGGGGAGCGAACAGG